rnacentral:snRNA from 1 species
GUGCUUGCUUCAGCAGCAUAGAUACUAAAAUUGGAAUGAUACAGAGAAGGUUAGCAUGGCCCCUGCACAAGGAUGACACGCAAAUUCAUGAAGCAUUCCAUAUUUUU